GUCCUUGUAGCUCAGUGGUAAGCAGCGAGCGAUUGCAGUUAUACAAAACAAACAUCGCUAGGUCCCCCGUUCGAAUCGGGGCAGGGACU